UACGAAGGGGGCUAGCGUUGUUCGGAAUUACUGGGCGUAAAGCGCACGUAGGCGGGUCCUUAAGUCAGGGGUGAAAUCCUGGAGCUCAACUCCAGAACUGCCCUUGAUACUGAGGAUCUCGAGUUCGGGAGAGGUGAGUGGAACUGCGAGUGUAGAGGUGAAAUUCGUAGAUAUUCGCAAGAACACCCGUGGCGAAGGCGGUUCUCUGGGACGGUACUGACGCUGAGACGCGAAAGCGUGGGGAGCGAACAGG
rnacentral:rRNA from 1 species